AUUGAACGCUAGCGGGAUGCCUUACACAUGCAAGUCGAACGGAGUGGCGAACGGGUGAGUAAUGUAUCGGAACGUGCCCAGUAGCGGGGGAUAACUACGCGAAAGCGAAGCUAAUACCGCAUACUAUUAGAGCGGCCUAGAUAGGAUUAGCUAGUUGGUGGGGUAAAGGCACACCAAGGCGACGAUCCGUAACUGGUUUGAGAGGAGGACCAGUCACACUGGAACUGAGACACGGUCCAGACGCCUACGGGAGGCAGCAGUGGGGAAUAUUGGACAAUGGGGGAAACCCUGAUCCAGCCAUGCCGCGUGUGCGAUGAAGGCCUUCGGGUUGUAAAGCACUUUUGGCAGGGAUGCGGUACCUGCAGAAUAAGCACCGGCUAACUACGUGCCAGCAGCCGCGGUAAUUC
rnacentral:rRNA from 1 species